rnacentral:rRNA from 1 species
UUAACAAAAACAUGUCCUUUUGAUUAUUAUUUAAGGUCUAGUCUGCCCAAUGAUGAUUUGAAUGGCCGCGAUAUUUUGAUCGUGCGAAGGUAGCAUAAUCAUUAGUUUUUUAAUUGAAAGCUGGUAUGAAGGAUUGGACGAGAGGUUAACUGUCUCUAUUUUAUUAUUUGAAUUUUAUUUUUUAGUUAGAAAGCUUAAAUUUUUUUGUUAGACGAGAAGACCCUAUAGAGUUUUAUAUUUUUUUUCUCUAAAUAAGUUUUAGGAUAGACUUUAGGAGUUUAUAAAAUAUUUAGUUGGGGUGACGGAAAAAUUUAAUUAACUUUUUCUUUUUAAAAUAUUAAUGAAUAGGUUUUUGACUUAAUUAUUUUAGUUAUAAGAUUAAAUUACCUUAGGGAUAACAGCGUAAUUUUUCUAAAG